rnacentral:lncRNA from 1 species
UAUUAGGUCAUGGGUUCGAAUCCCGGCUCGGCCACUUGUCAGCUGGGUGACUGUGGGCCAGUCACUUCACUUCUCGGUGCCCGUUACCUCAUCUGUAAAAUCGAUUAGAUCGAUUACAUCGAUUAGACUGUAAGCCAGUGACCUCAUCUGUAAAAUGGGGAUGAAGACCGGGAGCCCCACGUGGGACACCCUGAUUCCCGUGUCUCCCCCAGCGCUUAGAACAGUGCUCGGCACAGACUAAGCGCUUAACAAAUACCAACAUUAUUAUUAUUAAGCCCGUCAAACGGCAGGGACCGUCUCUAUCUGUGGCCGACUUGUUCAUUCCAAGCGCUUAGUCCAGUGCUCUGCACGUAGUCAGCGCUCAAUAAAGACGAUUGAAAUACUAUGGAAUGAGUAAAAAUGGGGAUGAGGCCUGGGAGCCCCACGUGGGACAACCUGAUGGCCCUGUGUCUCCCCCAGCGCUUAGAACAGUGCUCGGCACAGAGGAAGCGCUUAACAAACACCAACAUGAUUAUUAUUUUUAUUUAUUAUUAUUAAGCGCUGAACAUUGGAGCGAGGGAGUGAAAGGCCGUGAUGGCGGCCCUGAGGCGAGGGGGACACCGGAAGUCCCGCCCUCCGGGCCGAAGAGGCUGCCGGGUAGCGGUUUAAUGCCCGGCCCCCUCAGCCCUGCCUCCUUUUCUCUUUGCGCCUUCGGGCCGCCGCACGGGUCGCGCUCCGCUCCGCCAUUUCCUCCCGCUCCGCCGUCCCGCCCGCUCCGCCAUCCCCACACAAGUGAGUACGAGGCGCCCACCGGGCCCGGACGCUCUGGGCCCCCGUCCGACCCCGCCCGACCCCAACCCGGGGAAGGAGGGCCACAAAAUGGCGGCCGACGGCAGGACUGGCCCCAGGCCCGCCUGGCGGAUGCGUUACGUCGCCGCCUACCUCCUGGCCGUCCUCGGGGGCAACGACUCCCCGGCCCUGAAGGACCUCAAGAAGAUCCUGGACAGCGUGGGCAUCGAGACGGACGACGAACGCCUGAAGAAGGUGAUCGGCGAGCUCAACGGGAAGAACAUCGAAGACGUCAUCGCUCAGGCCGAGGAGAAGAAGAAGGAAGAGAAGAAGGAGGAGUCCGAAGAGUCGGACGACGACAUGGGCUUCGGCCUGUUCGACUAAGCGCCCGCCCCGACCGACGUAAAUAAACCCUUUUAUUUAGAGAGUGCCUCGGCUCCCGUGCGCGCGCCCGUCCCUCCCCGUGGGUCGGCCCGGAUGACGCCGUGGGGCCGAGCCCGGGGACCGGUUGCCCCCCCGGCCGGGCGCCUCGGCUUCGAGGCGAGUCGGCCGAUGACCCCGGUCACCGCAGAUCCCCGGGGGAGAUGGGCGUCAUCUUCCUUGCCCUCGGCGGUCGAGGACGCCAGCUGACUGGGGAAGGGGUCGGCCCGGACGGGACUCCCUGCCGCCGUCAAGGAGCGUACAGUGCCGUCUCUCUCUCUCACCCCCACCGCCGCCGAGGAGCACGGUCUGGGUAUUCGUUCGUUCGGUAGUAUUUGUUGAGCGCUUACUAUGUGCACAGCACUGGACUAAGCCCUUGGAAUGGUCAGUUCGGCAACAGAUAGACGCCGUCCCCGCCCCGGGACCCCCCCCCCCCCCCCCAAUCGGGGGGAGACAGAUGGCAGAGCAAAGCAGAACGGAACGGAAACAAGGCAACGUAAUCACGAUAACGAUAAAUGGAAGUACACAGCAAAGAACAGAGUCUGGUACAUGGUGCACACCAAGGAGCGAUCGGUCUGACCCCACACCCCGAACAAAAGGAGGCGUCCAUCAGCGUGCAGUUCCUUGGGCCUCAGUUUACUUCAUCUGUAAAAUGAGGAGAGGUAAUUCUUGAGGUCUCUGUUAAGCGCUUACUAUGGGCCAAGCACUACUUAGGAGAAGCAGCGUCGCCUAAUGGGGAGAAUACGGGCCUGGCGGGGAGCGGGACCUGGGUUCUAACUUGGCUCUGCCACCUAUCGUGAGACCAUGUGCAAGUCACUUCACUUAUGGACCACAGUUACCUCACCUGUACAUUCAGUAGUAUUUAUUGAGCGCCUACUAUGUGCAGAGAACUGUACUAAGCGCUUGGAACGGACAAUUCGGCAACAGAGAGAGAAUCCCUCUCUGAGGGAUUGAGAGGAUUAAGGCUGUGAGCUCUAUGUGGGACAGGGACCGUGUCCAAUCCGAUUUGCUCGUAUCUACCCCGCCGCUUAGUAAUGAUAAUGUUGGUAUUUGUUGAGCGCUUACUAUGUGCAGAGCACUGUUCUAAGCGCUUGGGGGGGGGGGAGACGGGGGAAUCAGGUCUUCCCCCGUGGGGCUCACAGUCUUCAUCCCCAUUUUCCAGAUGAGGUAACUGAGGCCCAGGGGCAGAGCUGGGACUCGAACUCAUGACCCCUGCCCGCCAAGCCCGUGCUCUUUUCACCGGCACAUAGUAAGCACUUAAAUACCACAAUUAGGUCAUCACUAGGACGGCUCAUCGGGUCCCACAUGGGGCUCUGGGUGCAAGUAGGAGGGAAACCCAUCGAAUCCCCAUUUUGCUGAGGAGGGAACGUGAGCCACUGAAACGAAAUCAGUCAGGAACUCGUUUAUCGAGCGCUUACCGUGUGCAGAGCACCGUACUAAGCUUUUGGGAGAGGACGAUAGAAAAACGGUCCCCGUCCACAGCGAGCCUCCAGUUUAGACGGAGGCAGACGUGAGCGUAAAACGAUGACAGAUGUAGACGUCAGCGCGGUGGGGGAGCGUGUCGGGAAGGAAGUGACAGAAAAGGGAAAAAGGACUUAAUCAGGGUGGGCCUCUUGGAGGAAUAGAAGCAAAUCCAGUCGAAGUCCCCGUCCCCCCCGUGGGGCUCGCCGUCUCAAUCCCCGUUUCCCACGUCACCGGAGCCCUGAGAAGUGAAGGUACUUCCUCAAGGCCACACGACAGACAAGUUGAGAAGCGGCGCGGCUCAGCGGAAAGAGCCCGGGCCGGGGAGUCGGAGGUCGUGGGUUCUGAUCCCGGCUCUGCUGCUUGUCAGCUGUGUAACCGAUAAAGUCACUUCUCUGCGCCUGUUCCCGCAUCUGGAAAAUGGGGACGAAGACGGUGAGCCCCCCGGGGGACAACCUGGUAACCUUGCGUCUACCCCAGGCGCGUAUAACAAAUGCCAACGUUGUUAUUGCGAGCGGCAGAGGCGGGAUUAGAACCCGUGGCCACCCGACUCCUAGGCUUGCGUUCCCUCCACCGCGCCACGCUGCUUCACUGUGGGAUAGGUGGACACCCCCACCAACCUUGCCGUCUCCCCCGCCCGGACCCGGUACUUCGGGCUGAGGGAAUGCUUCGGCCCCCGCCCUUCGGGGCCGACCCCGGCUCGGCCGUUCCGGUCGGACGGGGGCUCCAGCUGGGCCAAUGUUGGAGAAAGGUCACCGAGAAAGCCACCUCCCGCUCCGCUCGGGCCCCCCCCCCUCCCCGUUCUCCUUCCAACCCUGCGGCCCAGGGGACCGGAGCUCCCUCGGCCCCAAAACGAGUCAGGAGAUGUGACGGGGAGUUCAUCUGGCCCAGUGGGCCCGGGGUCACCCCCCCCCCCCCCCACCUGGUGCCAGUCGAUCGCUCGGGAGAGGACAGUCUAAGAAGUGAUAAAUGAAGUCGGUAUUCGUUAAGCGCUCGCUAUAUGCAGAGCACCGUUCUGAGCACCGGGGGAGAUACGGGGUCCUCAGGUUGUCCCACGGGAGGCUCCCAGUCUUCAUCCCUGUUUGAAAGAUGAGGUCACUGAGGCCCGGAGAAGCGAAGCGACUUGCCCACAGUCACCCGGCGGGGAUUCGAACCCACGACCUCCGACUCCCAAGCCCGCGCUCUUUCCAGUGAGCCGCGCCGCUUCCCGACAAACAUGCCCGCAACAGGCUUACAGUCUAGAGCGGGAGACGGACAUUAAUAGAAAUGAAUGAAUUAUAGAGACGUAUAGCCGAGGCCGGGGGGGGGAGGGAUGAUGAUAACGUUGGUAUUCGUUAAGCGCUUCCUAUGUGCCGAGCGCCGUUGUAAGCGCUGGGGGAGAUAGGGGGUCGUCGGGUCGUCCCACGUGAGGCUCACGGUCUUCAUCCCCAUUUUACAGAUGAGGGAACUGAGGCCCAGAGAAGUGAAGUGACGAAUAAAGGGAGCAAGCCAGGGAGAGGAGGAAAGGAGGGCUUAGUCGGGGAGGGCUUCUUGGAGGAGGUGGGCCUUCAGUAAGGCUUUGAAGCGAGAGGGGAAGAGUUAGUGUCUUUUUUCGGGUGCGUUUGGAGGGCUGUGGAGACAAACCACCCCACCCCAGUACUGCUCCUAGACCCUGAGCUCGCUGGGGGGCAGGGAUCGUGUCGUAACGGAGAAGCGGCACGGUGCGGUGGAAAGAGCGCUGGCCUGCGAGUCGGAAGGUCAUGGGUUCUAAUCCCAGUUCCACCAUUUGUUGCGUGACCUCGGGCAAUUGGCUUCUCCGGGCCUCGGUGACCUCAUCCGUAUAAAGGUUUAUCGAGGCUGAGACGGCAUCCGAUUCAUUCAUUCGUUCACUCCAUGGUAUCUAUUGAGCGCUUACUCUGUGCAGAGCACUGGACUAAGCGCUGGGAACGGACAGAUGGGUAACAGAUAGAGACGGUCCCUGCCCUCUGACGGGCUCACGGUCUCAUCGGGGGAGACGGACAAGAAGAAUGGCAAUAAACUCGAUUUGCUUGUAUCCACCCCGGCGCUCGGUACGGUCCCCGGCACAUCGCGCUGAACAGAUGCCGUAAUUAUUACUGUUUUAUAGCCCCCCAAGCGCUUAGUACAGCGCUCCGCACACAGUGAGCGCGCAAUAAAGACGAUCGAGUGAACGAACGGUUCCAGCGGCCGCCGGGAGCCUCGUUGCCGGAGUCGGCGGGGCCGGUCCGCCCCGCCCCCGGCCCCUCUGUUUACCGGACCCUUGACCUCUCGGAAGCCGGGCCCGGGUGAGAACUUCCCCCGGGGACCCCCGUCCCUCCGCCCACCCCCUCCCUCUGCCCUUAAACUUUGCCUCGAAAACAGACUUUCAGUUUUCGAGCCCGG